AUACGUAGGGGGCAAGCGUUAUCCGGAUUUACUGGGUGUAAAGGGAGCGUAGACGGUUUGGCAAGUCUGAAGUGAAAGCUCGGGGCUCAACCCCGGAACUGCUUUGGAAACUGCCUGACUGGAGUGCAGGAGGGGUAAGCGGAAUUCCUAGUGUAGCGGUGAAAUGCGUAGAUAUUAGGAGGAACACCGGUGGCGAAUGCAGCGUACUGAACUAGAACUGACGGUGAGGCUCGAAAACGUGGGGAGCAAACAGGAUUAGAUCCCCGGGUAGUCCACGCCCUAAACGAUGAAUACUAGGUGUCGUGUUGCUAUAGAGAUUCGGUGCCGCAGCAAACGCAAUAAGUAUGCCGCCUGGGGAGUACGUUCGCAAGAAUGAAACUCAAAUGAAUUGACGGGG
rnacentral:rRNA from 1 species